UGGAUCCAGACUUUGAUUCUGGCUCAGGAUGAACGCUAGCUACAGGCUUAACACAUGCAAGUCGAGGGGAAACGACAUCGAAAGCUUUCUUUUGAUGGGCGUCGACCGGCGCACGGGUGAGUAACGCGUAUCCAACCUGCCCACCACUUGGGGAUAACCUUGCGAAAGUAAGACUAAUACCCAAUGACGUCUCUAGAGGACAUCUGAAAGGGAUUAAAGAUUUAUCGGUGAUGGAUGGGGAUGCGUCUGAUUAGCUUGUUGGCGGGGUAACGGCCCACCAAGGCUACGAUCAGUAGGGGUUCUGAGAGGAAGGUCCCCCACAUUGGAACUGAGACACGGUCCAAACUCCUACGGGAGGCAGCAGUGAGGAAUAUUGGUCAAUGGACGAGAGUCUGAACCAGCCAAGCAGCGUGCAGGAUGACGGCCCUAUGGGUUGUAAACUGCUUUUAUAAGGGAAUAAAGUGAGUCUCGUGAGACUUUUUGCAUGUACCUUAUGAAUAAGGACCGGCUAAUUCCGUGCCAGCAGCCGCGGUAAUACGGAGGGUCCGGGCGUUAUCCGGAUUUAUUGGGUUUAAAGGGAGCGUAGGCCGGAGAUUAAGCGUGUUGUGAAAUGUAGAUGCUCAACAUCUGCACUGCAGCGCGAACUGGUUUCCUUGAGUACGCACAAAGUGGGCGGAAUUCGUGGUGUAGCGGUGAAAUGCUUAGAUAUCACGAAGAACUCCGAUUGCGAAGGCAGCUCACUGGAGCGCAACUGACGCUGAAGCUCGAAAGUGCGGGUAUCGAACAGGAUUAGAUACCCUGGUAGUCCGCACGGUAAACGAUGGAUGCCCGCUGUUGGUCUGAAUAGGUCAGCGGCCAAGCGAAAGCAUUAAGCAUCCCACCUGGGGAGUACGCCGGCAACGGUGCAACUCAAAGGAAUUGACGGA
rnacentral:rRNA from 1 species